rnacentral:lncRNA from 1 species
CUGCACCUCCUCUCCGGCUCCUUCCAUCCCCCGCACCGCGGUGGAGGAGUCAGGCUCGCCCAGGCCCGGGGCCGCGGCGGCGGUGGCGGGAAAGCGGCCGCCGGAAGCGAACGGCCGCCGGCAGGAGGACCCGGAUCUUGACGCCCACGCGGCUGAGGAGCCAGGCUCCCGCGGUCACCACAAGGCCCCGGCCGUGGACCUCCGGCACCUGCAGGUCGUCUUCCCCUUCGGCUUCUGCGUUGUCUUGGUCCUUGGCAGCAAGCACCUUUGUGGCUUCUCUGCCUGACGACAGAUGCUGGCGUGGGCUGGCCGGAAGCUGACAGGCUGGAGAAACGCCGAGAGGCCGGUGGCCUCGCGACCGUGGACUCCAGCUGCUUCGACCCGGCGACAUCAGCGGCUGGACAGGGAUGCGGACUGCCCCGUGCCAAGUGGGACCCAGGAGGAGCCCCCUUCGCCACCCCUGGGCGCCAUCCUGCGCUCUCUUCAGGGCACCUCGUUGAAGGCCUAGAAGUCUGAAAGGUCUUUUUUCUUCAGCCUUUCAGAACUUUAUUAGGUGGCGUUUGGGCAAAAGAGAAAACCCCUGAAACAGCCGCUCAGCUGUUCGGACGACUGGAAGAGAGAAGCAGCCUUUGUUGGCUGACGUUCUCUCACUGAGGAGAACCUACAGGAGAGAUCAUCCUCAUCUGGUGAGCACCUUGGGGUUUCCAAGCACGAGUGCUCUGGCCUACCAGAGUUCCACAUCUUCAGAAACCACAAAAAGGGCUCUUG